GGAAAGUCGGAGUACCGUGGCGCUCCUCCCGGGGCUGUCCGCAGUGAUGGAGGAGGUGGAGGCUGAGGAGCAGCAGCAGUACUCUCACCGGCAGAGGCUCAAGGCAGCAGUUCACUACACGGUCGGCUGUCUCUGCCAGGAGGUGGAGCUGGACAAACAGGUGCACUUGAGCAAACAGACCAUUGCGGCCAUCUCCGAGGUGACUUUUCGACAGUGCGGUAUGAGGCCACUACCUUUUACUUCGGGAUUUGCCUGGGGCCACCAAUGUGGUGGGAGCUGAGGUGUGACACACACACACACACACACACACACACACACACACCAACUCCCACCACCCCUAACCUUUGGCCACACUUUCCCUGGUCACCUCAUGCUGUACGAUUUGAAUGCUGUGUGGGAAGGGCUGUCAGGUGGCCCUGUCAUGCCAACUGCAGAUGUCCUCAGCACCUUGUUUAAACUGCUCCGGUGGCUGGAACUUUGGACACUGUCCCCCUGUCAGUGCUCUGUGACCUUCCCAUGCUGUCUUUCCCUAGGGUAAAUGGCAGCUGAACCCAUGGGUAGGCGCCUGCUUCGCUUGAGAGGAAGGUGGUGUCCCUACAAGCUAUAACUCGAGCAGAAUUUAAAGUUCGUCACUAGGGACCAAGGUGUCCUCACAGUUAGGAUAAGGCUUGAAAGAAGAGGAGUGGGGGAGGGCUGCUGGGAAGGACAAGGAGGGGUCCGUGGUUUUAAAAAGCCGGAGUCGUGCUGACUGGAAGCCAAGGCUGCACGCCUGACGGUAGAGAUAAACUAUUUUCUCCUCUCUCCUCUCUCUUUCAGAAAAUUUUGCCAAAGACCUUGAAAUGUUUGCCAGGUGGGUAGAGAAGCCGGCUGUGUAAUCUGAGGUCCAUUGACAUCAUGGUCCGCAUCUGGCGGUGUUUUUUGGGGUUCUUGUUUCCUGGGGGUUUGUGGCUGAUCAUGAUCUGCAGGGAAUUAACAUCUGCUCUGAAGGCAUCGGUUCAGACCAGCUUGGUAUUUCUGGGUUGGUUUUUGCUGGUCUCCAAGUUACGCAGCUCUGAAUUGCAGCCCCAGGACUCUGCACGUGUGUGGCUGCCUGUUGUAAACUGUUUCUUGGGAUGGUUUGAUGGUCAGGGUCUAGGAGCUCAGAGGGUCGGUCCCUCCCUGGAAGGGGCCGAAUUGCACCAGCCCUGAUUGCCGGCAGGUGUACUGAGGAUGACAGGGAGGGGCUUUCGUCCGUCUGCAUUGGCCACCAGGAAGACAUAAUUUUCCUGGGAAGUGGGGGAG
ensembl:lncRNA